CCAAAAACACUUUCUCUUACGAGACGUUCCACCGAAGCUGAUAUCAACGACUGAUUCGGCGUUGAAUUCACCAACAAACGAGGCUUCAAACGCUCCACCAAUUUUCGACGCUUUGUCGGCAGACCCUCCAAAUAUAUAUCGUUGACGUAUCUUUGUGGGGCUGCUCACCUCGGGUUCCGGCUGUGGUGGAAUCACAUGCGUUCUCAGGAUACCGGCGAUGUCCUCGAAAAUAGGCGUUGCCCGAGCUUCGUCGAUUCGACUAUUUUCCGCUUCGAGUUCACCCUCCCGCGGUUGGGAAUAUUCACAGAACCACUGGGCCACGGUCUGAACGAUCCACUCUCGGAGCUCUGGAUGUUGACUGUACGAUGCACGCACCUGUUAUAAUUUAUUUAAAAAUUUCCAUUUUCAUUAAACAUUUUGGCCUCCGAUUCCAUUAUUCUUACAUAUUGAAGGUUAUUUUGAUAACCACUUACAGCGAAUCUGCGAAUAAACAUUUCCAACCCCGCCUGUUUCCAUUUCGGGUUGCUACGGAAUGCAUUGCAUAUUUUGCGCGCAUAACGUUGAACGAUUUCGAUCAAAUUGGUGCCCCAUUCUUCAUCCGCCGUGCCCUCUGGAAAAUUAAAAGCGAAAUAGUAUUGAAAAUAUUCAUUUGCCUGUUCUCUGUAUACCGACCAUUUGCUAUCAUGCAAAUGCACAAGAUUGUAAAUGCGCUAAGCUCAAAUUAAAAGGAAACUUUUGUCUUCCUUUUUAAAUCA